rnacentral:rRNA from 1 species
GUGCCAGCAGCCGCGGUAAUACGUAGGUGGCAAGCGUUGUCCGGAUUUACUGGGUGUAAAGGGCGUGCAGCCGGGAAGACAAGUCAGAUGUGAAAUCCCGCGGCCCAACCGCGGAACUGCAUUUGAAACUGUUUUUCUUGAGUAUCGGAGAGGUAAUCGGAAUUCCUAGUGUAGCGGUGAAAUGCGUAUAUAUUAAGAAGAACACCAGUGGCGAAGGCGGAUUACUGGACGACAACUGACGGUGAGGCGCGAAAGCGUGGGGAGCAAACAGGAUUACAUACCCUGGUACUCCACGCUGUAAACGAUCAAUACUAGGUGUGCGGGGACUGACCCCCUGCGUGCCGGAGUUAACACAAUAAGUAUUGCACCUGGGGAGUACGAUCGCGAGGUUGAAACUCAAAGGAAUUGACGGGGGCCCGCACAAGCGGUGGGUUAUGUGGUUUAAUUCGAAGCAACGCGAAGAACCUUACCAGGGCUUGACAUCCAGCUAACGAAAUAGAGAUACAUCAGGUGCCCUUCGGGGAAAGCAGAGACAGGUGGUGCAUGGUUGUCGUCAGCUCGUGUCGAGAGAUGUUGGGUUACCCCCCGCAACGAGCGCACCCUCCUUUUUGUUAGUUGCUACACAAGAGCACUCUAGCGAGACUGCCUAUGACAAAGGGAGGAGGGCGGGGGACGACAUCAAAUCAUCUUGCCUCCUUAUGUCCUGGGCUA